ensembl:lncRNA
GGGGUAGUCUACUGGUGUUGUUCAGAUGGUCCUGUGGUGGGGUAGUCUACUGGUGUUGUUCAGAUGGUCCUGUGGUGGGGUAGUCUACUGGUGUUGUCCACAUGGUCCUGUGGUGGGGUAGUCUACUGGUGUUGUCCACAUGGUCCUGUGGUGGGGUGGUCUACUGGUGUUGUCCACAUGGUCUUGUGGUGGGGUGGUCUACUGGUGUUGUCCACAUGGUCCUGUGGUGGGGUGGUCUACUGGUGUUGUCCACAUGGUCUUGUGGUGGGGUGGUCUACUGGUGUUGUCCACAUGGUCCUGUGGUGGGGUGGUCUACUGGUGUUGUCCACAUGGUCUUGUGGUGGGGUGGUCUACUGGUGUUGUCCACAUGGUCUUGUGGUGGGGUGGUCUACUGGUGUUGUCCACAUGGUCUUGUGGUGGGGUGGUCUACUGGUGUUGUCCACAUGGUCUUGUGGUGGGGUGGUCUACUGGUGUUGUCCACAUGGUCCUGUGGUGGGGUAGUCUACUGGUGUUGUCCACAUGGUCUUGUGGUGGGGUAGUCUACUGGUGUUGUCCACAUGGUCUUGUGGUGGGGUAGUCUACUGGUGUUGUUCAGAUGGUCUUGUGGUGGGGUAGUCUACUGGUGUUGUCCACAUGGUCUUGUGGUGGGGUAGUCUACUGGUGUUGUCCACAUGGUCUUGUGGUGGGGUAGUCUACUGGUGUUGUCCACAUGGUCUUGUGGUGGGGUAGUCUACUGGUGUUGUCCACAUGGUCUUGUGGUGGGGUGGUCUACUGGUGUUGUCCACAUGGUCUUGUGGUGGGGUGGUCUACUGGUGUUGUUCAGAUGGUCUUGUGGUGGGGUAGUCUACUGGUGUUGUCCACAUGGUCUUGUGGUGGGGUAGUCUACUGGUGUUGUCCACAUGGUCUUAUGGUGGGGUGGUCUACUGGUGUUGUCCACAUGGUCUUGUGGUGGGGUAGUCUACUGGUGUUGUCCACAUGGUCUUGUGGUGGGGUGGUCUACUGGUGUUGUUCAGAUGGUCUUGUGGUGGGGUAGUCUACUGGUGUUGUCCACAUGGUCUUGUGGUGGGGUGGUCUACUGGUGUUGUCCACAUGGUCUUGUGGUGGGGUGGUAUUCAGUCUGGUUGGAUAAUGUCAUUAUCUAUAAAGGUAAGAAGUCGAUUGUUUGUUUGAAGAGAAGCUUCCAGUCUGUUUCAUCACAAUGCUCUUAACGUCUUACCAGAAACAGGCUGACAGAUUCUUCUGGAGCUGGUAUCAUCUCUGCCUCAUCUCGAAAAGGAAGGAGACCUUAGCCUUGAUUUUCAGUUUUGGCCCGAUGGCGACAUCGGGAUUUUGAAAUUCAACGGAGGGAUGCAUUUUUUGUGGGACUAAUUGUUUGUUAUAAUCAAUCAAAGAAGCCUCCCGUGUGGCGCAGUGGUCUAAGCUACUGCAUCGCAGAGCUAGAAGUGUCAUUACAGACCCGGGUUCGAUCCCAGGCUGUGUCAUAGCUGGCCGUGACUGAAAGACCCGUGAGGCAGCACAUAAUUGGCCCAUUGUUGUUUGGGUUAGGAGAGGGUUUGGCAGGCCAAGAUUUCCUUGUCCCAUCGCUCUAGUGCCUCCUGUGGCAGACCAGGCGCAUGCACGCAGACACGGUCGCCAGGUGUACGGUGUUUCCUCCGACACAUUAAAGCAGCUGGUUUCCGGGGAUAAGCGGGCAUUGUGUCAAGAAACAGUGCUGCUUGGCAGGGUCGUGUUUCGACCUUCGCCUCUCCCGAGUCCUUAGGGGAGUUGCAGCGAUGGGACAAGACUGUUACUACCAAUUCAGAUAUCAUGAAAUUGGGGAGAAAAAAGGGGUAAAAAAAUAAAAAAUAAUUAUGUCUCUUGAUCUGCUCACGGGCCAUACUUUGCCCCCCCCCUCCCCCUUGCUCUAAGGUACAUGCAGGACCUCACAGGAGCCAAGUGCAGGCACCUUAAAUGUUCAACUGCUUGAGCUCUUGUUCCUAUAUUAUCUCAAAAGUAUUGUGGAGCUCCUGCAGCUAAAUAUAAGCAGUACUGGAAACCAACAUGAGUACCGACACCUACUUCAAUCCAUGUCAAGCACUGGGUUAUAUGGAAUAGCAAUUGUCUUACUCGUGAGAAUAGGACAUCCUAUCACAGUACACUGUCACAACACAACAUGCUUGUUUGUUUGAGGCCCUUUUAUUAUUGGUAAAGACAAAACAUUUAUUGGGAAAAUGGGAUAUAAUUGUGAAAAAUGGUAUCAAAUCAAAUUGUAUUUGUCACAUGUGCCAUAUAGAACAGAUGUAGACUUUACUGUGAAAUGCUUACUGACGAGCCCUUUACCAACAAUGCAGAAUUACAAAGUAAGAAUUGAAUGGUAAAGAAAAUGCAAUUGAAUUCUGCAUCGUUCUAUUGUCUUUCUAGUAUCAAUGUUCCACCAAACUCCAUGUCAGGUCAAUAUAAUAAUAUACAUACCCUGGUCUGGCUCUUGAUAUACUCUGGUCUGGCUCUUGAUAUACCCUGGCCUGUGUGCCAGGCUCUUGAGAUACCCUGGCCUGUGUGCCAGGCUCUUGAGAUACCCCGGCCUGUGUGCCAGGCUCUUGAGAUACCCUGGCCUGUGUGCCAGGCUCUUGAGAUACCCUGGCCUGUGUGCCAGGCUCUUGAGAUACCCCGGCCUGUGUGCCAGGCUCUUGAGAUACCCUGGCCUGUGUGCCAGGCUCUUGAGAUACCCUGGCCUGUGUGCCAGGCUCUUGAGAUACCCUGGCCUGUGUGCCAGGCUCUUGAGAUACCCUGGCCUGUGUGCCAGGCUCUUGACAACUUCUUAUGGAAUUGUCUUUAAGCUUGAAAAUGACAUUGGAGUUGGCAAAAGCACAGGGACCAGGCUAUAUACAGUGCCUUCGGAAAAUAUUCAGACCCCUCGACUUUUUCCAAAUUUUGUUACGUUACACCCUUAUUCUAAAAUGUAUAAAAUAAAAAUGUACAUAAAGUACCAGUCAAACAUUUGGACACACCUACUCAUUCAAGCUUUUUUCUUUAUUUUGACUAUUUUCUACAUUGUAAAAUAAUAGUGAAGACAUCAAAACUAUGAAAUAACACACAUGGAAUCAUGUAGUAACGAAAAGUGUUAAACAAAUGAAAAUAUAUUUGAGAUUCUUCAAAGUAGCCACCCUUUGCCUUGAUGACAGUUUUGCACUCUUGGCAUUCUCUCAACCAGCUUCAUGAGGUAGUCACCUGGAAUGCAUUUCAAUUAACAGGCGUGCGCUGUUAAAAGUGAAUUUGUGAAAUUUCUUUCCUUUUUAAUGCGUUUGAGCCAAUCAGUUGUGUUGUGACAAGGUAGGGGAGGUAUACAGAAGAUAGCCCUAUCUGGUAAAAGACCAAGUCUAUAUGAUGGCAGGAACAGCUCAAAUAAGAGAAAUGACAGUCCAUCAUUAUUUUAAAACAUGAAAGUCAGUCAAUACGAAACAUUUCAAGAACUUGAUGAAACUGGCUCUCAUGAGGACCUCCACAUGAAAGGAAGACCCAGAGUUACCUCUGCUGCAGAGGAUAAGUUCAUUGGAGUGGUAUUUCAGUUUUGAUGUCUUCACUAUUAUUCUACAAUGUAGAAGAUAGUAAAAUGAAAAGAAAAACCCUUGAAUGAGUAGGUGCUCUAAAACUUUUGACCGGUAGUGUAUAUGUCUUGGACCAGGCUAUAUAUGUAUGUCUGUAUCUUUUCUGUUGACAAUUUAUCAGUGUAUCAUAUUUUCUUUAUUUCUUGAUGUGCAUAACUGUUGGCUGACCAGCCGUGCCUGACUUGGGCAGGAGCUCUGUUGGCUGACCAGCCGUGCCUGACUUGGGCAGGAGCUCUGUUUGCUGACCAGCCGUGCCUGACUUGGGCAGGAGCUCUGUUGGCUGACCAGCCGUGCCUGACUUGGGCAGGAGCUCUGUUGGCUGACCAGCCGUGCCUGACUUGGGCAGGAGCUCUGUUGGCUGACCAGCCGUGCCUGACUUGGGCAGGAGCUCACUGGAGCUGAGUACCAGCACCUCAAAUGUCCCUCUUAUCGAAUAUUAGCUGAAAUUUAUUGUGAAGCUCCUGCACCUGAAUAUAAACAGUACCGGCACCUAUUUCAGUCCAUGUCAAGCACAGCUGGGCAGCGUGGGAGGGAGGGGCUAGCGCUGUUGGUUUUAUAUAGAGAAAGAUAGCUCUGGUCCAGGUUGUGGUUUGGUAAUGUUCUCAAAGUCGCCCUGGACCAGAGCUAUAGACAUUAACACGUCCAUUAUAGAUGUAGUGUAUCUCUGCUUUGGUGAACGACAAUAUAAGCUCUUUGUCUUACUUUAUACGUUUGUACUUCUGUGAAAUAAAAGAUUAUUAUUUUAUCA